UUCUCCUCUCCAGUAUCCAGCGCCAGUUUGUUAUACUCACUCCGGUUCAUCUCCCACUGGUCACGCUGGUUCCCGUGGCAGAGCUCCUCUCCAUGUUCCACGCUGGUCCCGCCGUCCUCGGCGUCCACGCUUCGCCUCAAGUCGCUCCGCCGUCCUUGGCAUCCUGCUCAACCUCAAGUUGAUUCCGCCGUCCUCGGUUCCCCCACGCUACGCUCCUCAGGUUCCACGGUCCGCCGCGCUCCUGGGACGUCAGAUCUUCAUCCAAAGAUUAUUCAAGCUACGCUCACUUGGAGGCUCUGUAAACCCCCAGGAGAAUUAAAACCUCUUUGCAAACUA